GAAACACGUGUGGGCGUGGUCAUGACUGCUGGGGGCGUGGCCACGGCCGGUGUGGGCGUGGCCCGGGCCGCGGCGCGCCGGGAAGGCGGAAGCGGCUCCCGGGCCCCGAGCGCCGGCCCCGGGGCUCCGCAGGGGCAUGGCCGGGCCCGGCUGGGCCCCGCCGCGCCUCGACGAGUUCAUCCUCACCGAGCCCCUCGGCUCGGGCACCUACGCCACCGUCUACAAGGCCUACAGGAAGAGGGACACGCGUGAGGUGGUGGCCAUCAAGUGUGUCAACAAGAGGAGCCUGAACCGGGCGUCGGUGGAGAACCUGCUGACAGAGAUCGAGAUCCUCAAGACCAUCCGCCACCCCAACAUUGUGGAGCUCAAGGACUUCCAGUGGGACAGUGACCACAUCUACCUGAUCAUGGAGUUCUGCGCCGGGGGGGACCUCUCCCGCUUCAUCCGCACGCGCCGCAUGCUCCCCGAGAAGGUGGCACGCCUCUUCCUGCAGCAGCUCGCCUGCGCCCUGAAGUUCCUCCACGACCACAACAUCUCCCACCUGGACCUGAAGCCGCAGAACAUCCUCCUGAGCGCCCCGGAGAACCCCCAGCUGAAGCUGGCAGAUUUCGGCUUUGCUCAGUACAUGUCGCCGUGGGACGAGAAGCACGUGCUGCGCGGCUCCCCGCUCUACAUGGCCCCCGAGAUGGUGUGUCGGCAGCACUACGACGCCCGCGCGGACCUCUGGUCCGUGGGGGUCAUCCUUUACGAAGCGCUCUUUGGGAAGCCGCCCUUCGCUUCCCGCUCCUUCGCCGAGCUGGAGGAGAAGAUCCGCAGCGACCGGGCUGUGGAGCUUCCCAGCCGGCCCCAGCUCUCUCAGGAAUGCCGGGAUCUCCUGGGACAGCUGCUGGAGAGGGACCCUCGGAAGCGCAUCUCCUUCGAGUGCUUCUUUGCUCACCCCUUCGUGGACAUGGAGCACGUCCCCGGCCCCGAGAGCCUGGGCAAGGCGACCGAGCUGGUGGUGCAGGCGGUGAGGAAGGAUCAGGAGGGAGACGCCGCUGCCGCCUUCUCCCUCUACCGCAAGGCCCUGGAGUAUUUUGUGCCAGCACUGCACUAUGAGAGCGACGUGCGGCGCAAAGAAGCCAUCCGGGCCAAGGUGAGGCAGUACAUCUCCCGAGCAGAGGAGCUGAAGGUGUUGGUCACCUCCAGCAACAAGAACCUCCUGGAGAAAGGAAACCCGGCCAGAGAGCUCCUUAAAGAGAUGGCCAAGGACAAACCUCGGCUCUGCGCGGCGCUGGAAGUGGCUUCAGCUGCCGUCGCCAAGGAGGAGGAAGGCAGGGAUGACAGUGACGCCCUGGAGCUGUACCAGCAGAGCCUGGGGUAGCUGCUGCUGCUCCUGGCCGCGGAGCCGGCGGGGCGGCGGCGGGAGCUGCUCCACGCAGAGAUCCAGACCCUGAUGGCUCGAGCCGAGUACCUGAAGGAUCAGAUCAAGAUGCGGGAGGCACAGUCCAUGGGCAAGGAGGCGCUGGCAGAGUCCGUGCGGAGCGCCUGUACCCUGCAGUGACUCCGGGAGCUGCCCCGGGACGCUGCUCGCUGCCCUGCCAGGAGACACCGCCGAGGCGAGGCUUGGGCUCCCGUCCCCCCCUCCGGGGUGACACCUGGGGGGUCACCCUGGGGCUCCAGCCCCGGGGGGCUCAGCAGGGCCAUCUGCCCCUCUCCCAGGCGCUGGCUCAUUUCCCUGCCAGCCCUGCCUCGACCGUCUGCUGCUGCAGCCUCCCGUGCCACGGCGGGCGGGUUAUUCCACUCUAAUUCCCUCUGCUGGCUCCACGGCGAGGGUAUUUUUAUCCUGGCACUGGGCUCUGGCAGGACAUCCCCCCUUGCUUUUUCGGCUGGGUGGUUCUUCCACCUCCCAAAUUCCGGGGGAGCCCACACGGCCCACACAUCCAGCCGGGAGCUGAGGGUGGGCAGGGAUGCUCCGCUGUGCCUUCCUCGCCCAGCAUCUACCUCUGCACCCACUGCUGCUCGUCCAGCCUCCAUCCAGCAGCCACUGCACUGGCCCAGCCCGGCCAUUCCUCCCUGCCUCUCACUGCUGGAGCCUGGGAAUGAGGCUUUUCCUCCCUGGACCUGGAGCCUGGCGGGUACUGGCUGCCUCAUCAGUGUCACGACCGUGAGCAGCGCUCAGCAGGGCACGAGCAGCAGUCAGCCACCUUCAGGGAGACACUCAGCAUCCUGCCUGCCCUGCUCCACUCCUCAGGGCCCUGGCACCCCAACAUCCAAAUCAUGUUCCCAGGAGUCGUUGUUGCGGGGUGCCGAUGUUGCCUGUCCUGCACAACAAGGUACUUGUCUCAAAAUCUACUGUAUCUCAAGGGAAUGUAAUUUAUUGUCUUUAAUAAACUUCAAUUUUGAUUUCUCCA